rnacentral:misc_RNA from 1 species
UACGGAGGGUGCAAGCGUUGUCCGGAUUUAUUGGGUUUAAAGGGUGCGUAGGUGGUCAAUUAAGUCAGUGGUGAAAUCCUGCAGCUCAACUGUGGAACUGCCAUUGAAACUGAAUGACUUGAGUAUAGACGAGGUAGGCGGAAUUUAUGGUGUAGCGGUGAAAUGCAUAGAUACCAUAAAGAACACCGAUAGCGAAGGCAGCUUACUAGGCUAUAACUGACACUGAGGCACGAAAGCGUGGGGAGCGAACAGG